CCCAGACUCCUACGGGAGGCAGCAGUGGGGAAUAUUGGGCAAUGGGCGCAAGCCUGACCCAGCAACGCCGCGUGAAGGAAGAAGGCUUUCGGGUUGUAAACUUCUUUUGUCAGGGACGAAGCAAGUGACGGUACCUGACGAAUAAGCCACGGCUAACUACGUGCCAGCAGCCGCGGUAAUACGUAGGUGGCAAGCGUUAUCCGGAUUUAUUGGGUGUAAAGGGCGUGUAGGCGGGAAUGCAAGUCAGAUGUGAAAACUAUGGGCUCAACCCAUAGCCUGCAUUUGAAACUGUAUUUCUUGAGUGCUGGAGAGGCAAUCGGAAUUCCGUGUGUAGCGGUGAAAUGCGUAGAUAUACGGAGGAACACCAGUGGCGAAGGCGGCCUGCUGGGCUUUUACUGACGCUGAGGCUCGAAAGCGUGGGGAGCAAACAGGAUUAGAUACCCUCGUA
rnacentral:rRNA from 1 species